AUUGGAGCUCCCCUACCACCGUACAACCUGAGCUGAUCAGGUUUUGGAAGCUAAGCAGGGUCACUUCUGGAAUGUACUUGGAUGGGAGACCAGAAGGAAAUAUCAAAGAUCUCCAGAU
rnacentral:rRNA from 1 species